CUCCACAGAGGGGCAGGUGGGACCCAAGAUUCAAAGAUAGGGAUGGCCUAGUGACACACUUCUGAUAAGGCUGAGUGCUGGGGGCACUUUUGUGAAGGGAAGGCCUCCCCUCUUCCAUCUUCCAGCCAGGAACUCUGAGGCACCAGCCGUCACCUUAUGACCCUGAAGACAUGUUGGGUACCAUGGAAACCACAGCAAAGGGCAGGGCAGCUGGAAAGCGGAGUGAGCCCUGGGACAGGGACUGGAGAUUGAACCCAGGACCUCGUGGUUGCUAAGCACGCGCUCCACCACUGAGCUACACCCUCCCCCCUGGAUUUGAAACAUCUUUCACCAAGCACAGAUGAAGCCAUACGCCUGCACUUAGAGACCACGGUAUGUGAAAAAUACGUAAUACUGGCGUCCUAUCCAUGUGGUGGUCUUGGCUGAUGCUGUUAAAAAAA